CCUACGGGAGGCAGCAGUAAGGAAUAUUGGUCAAUGGAGGCAACUCUGAACCAGCCAUGCCGCGUGCAGGAAGACGGCCCUAUGGGUUGUAAACUGCUUUUGAACUAGAGAAAACCUUGGUACGUGUACCGAGUUGAUAGUAUAGUUAGAAUAAGCAUCGGCUAACUUCGUGCCAGCAGCCGCGGUAAGACGAAGGAUGCAAGCGUUAUCCGGAUUCAUUGGGUUUAAAGGGUGCGUAGGCGGACUGAUAAGUCAGUGGUGAAAUCUCUCAGCUUAACUGAGAAACUGCCAUUGAUACUGUUAGUCUAGAGUACAGAUGAUGUGGGCGGAAUAUGACAUGUAGUGGUGAAAUACUUAGAUAUGUCAUAGAGCACCGAUUGCGAAGGCAGCUCACAAAACUGUAACUGACGCUGAGGCACGAAAGUGCGGGGAUCAAACAGGAUUAGAUACCCUGGUAGUCCGCACCGUAAACGAUGAUUACUCGUUGUUGGCGAUAUGACAGUCAGCGACCAAGCGAAAGCGANAAGUAAUCCACCUGGGAGUACGCCGGCAACGGUGAAACUCAAAGAGUAGUUAGGCGNGNGAGNGCGACGACGACGACGAGGAGGAGGAG
rnacentral:rRNA from 1 species